rnacentral:tRNA from 1 species
GCGGAUAUAGUUCAUCGGUAGAAUGCAAGCUUCCCAAGCUUGAGAGGCGGGUUCGAUUCCCGUUAUCCGCU